rnacentral:rRNA from 1 species
UACGUAGGGGGCAAGCGUUGCCCGGAAUUAUUGGGCGUAAAGAGCGUGUAGGCGGUCCGGUAAGUCAGCUGUGAAAGUCAAGGGCUCAACCCUUGAAAGCCGGUUGAUACUGUCGGGCUAGAGUCCGGAAGAGGCGAGUGGAAUUCCCGGUGUAGCGGUGAAAUGCGCAGAUAUCGGGAGGAACACCAAUGGCGAAGGCAGCUCGCUGGGACGGUACUGACGCUGAGACGCGAAAGCGUGGGGAGCAAACAGG